rnacentral:misc_RNA from 1 species
GAUGAAGAACGUAGUGAAAUGCGAUAAGUAAUGUGAAUUGCAGAAUUCAGUGAAUCAUCGAAUCUUUGAACGCACAUUGCGCCCGCCAGUAUUCUGGCGGGCAUGCCUGUUCGAGCGUCAUUUCAACCAUCAAGCCCCCGGCUUGUGUUGGGGACCUGCGGCUGCCGCAGGCCCUGAAAACCAGUGGCGGGCUCGCUAGUCACUCCGAGCGUAGUAAUACAUCUCGCUCAGGGCGUGCUGCGGGUUCCGGCCGUUAAAAGCCUUAUUUACCCAAGGUUGACCUCGGAUCAGGUAGGAAGACCCGCUGAACUUAAGCAUAUCAAAAGCGGAGGA